rnacentral:rRNA from 1 species
GACGAACGCUGGCGGUGUGCUUAACACAUGCAAGUCGAACGGUAAGGCCCUUUCGGGGGUCCACGAGUGGCGAACGGGUGAGUAACACGUGAGUAACCUGCCCUCAUCUCUGGGAUAACAGUCGGAAACGGUUGCUAAUACUGGAUAUGAGCUUGCAAGGCAUCUUGUGGGUUGGAAAGAUUUUUUUUGGUUGGGGAUGGACUCGCGGCCUAUCAGCUUGUUGGUGAGGUAGUGGCUCACCAAGGCUUAGACGGGUAGCCGGCCUGAGAGGGCGACCGGCCACAUUGGGACUGAGAUACGGCCCAAACGCCUACGGGAGGCAGCAGUGGGGAAUAUUGCACAAUGGACGGAAGUCUGAUGCAGCAACGCCGCGUGCGGGAUGACGGCCUUCGGGUUGUAAACCGCUUUCAAUUGUGACGAAGCUUUUUUGUGACGGUAGCAGUAGAAGAAGCACCGGCUAACUACGU